AGAAAAACUAGCCAUUUCAAUCUUUGAAACAAAUAGAGACAUUGUUUGCUUAAGGACAUUUAGAGGGACCCCCACGUUGAUGGUAACCAAUAUGACAUGAUCUAUAUGGAGUCCUCCAGCUGUAUAUGUGGUCCAAAUUAGUAUACCCUACGAAUUUCUGGACCACGUGCCUUUUUCUCAGGUCCUCUUCAUCUCAGAAACGAUCAUUGAGUUUAUAAGAACCAAGCUUUUUAUCAAAACAUUUUAUAGACACGGUUUUCAUCAAUUAGCAUCAAACACAACAUACUACAAAAAGGAAAAAAAUAAAAAAAUAAAAAAAAAUCUCCCUUUAUUCUUCUAGAUUUGAUUGCUAAAAACCAUUGAGACUUUUUGGUUCUGUAAGGUAGGCUAUCUUGGUUUUUUGGGUGAAUUUGUAAGGUGGCCAUUGGAAGGUCACUAUUUGAAGCCCCUGUUAUGUUAUAUAUAGCAUUUGGCAGCCAGCUCUAGUGACAAAUAGUUGCAUAUGGGAUUUUGCCAUGCCAGCUCUUUGUGCCUAAAAAAUAAAAAAUGGUCCCUAAACUUGCAUAUCCCAUCAUUGUUAUGCAAAAUGGAGUCUUUAGUCCUUCCAAUUAGUUUGCUUUUUAUACCUUCCUUCUUCCAUUGCCAGCACUCAGCAUGAAUACCUACACGGGGCUAUCGUUCUCUCUCGUCGUUGUCACAUUUCAUGACUCUACAUCAUGACUAAUAAUUAAAUUCCUCAAAUGAAAUAACUGCGUACACAAGGUAUAUUGGUCACUUUCACAUGGCUAGCUAAUCAAUGGAGUACUUUCUUUAUCCAUAGAAGAUGGUAAAUGAAGGAAUUGGAACUUGCUAUUGAAUGCUAUGCAACGAAGAAAAGCUCUUCUUUUCUUAUCCCCAGUUUCCGCUUUUCUAUGUGGAACAUAACUAAUAGUAGAUUAUAGCGGAGGAAAAUUUGUGCAAAACUUGAAAACUAGUGGUUCUCUCUCAGAAAACCUGUGGCUCAGAUUGAUUAGUUAUGAUUUAUGAUAUCAAGUCCAUUGGAUCAUCAGGCUGAACGAGAGGCUAUCUGUGGAAAAUAAACCAACAGGUGCUUUGCUUAGAUUGUUUACAACAUAAUAAAGUUCAUUGAAAACAAUAAUCUGAGGUCUAGUUACAGACAAACGCCAGAUACAUAAAUUAGUAUUAAACUUCAACAUCUUUUUUGCAGUUCGUGUUGAAUUUCCAGUGGCUAGUAUGAUCCUACAUAUAUAAAAGAAGAGACAAAACAGCCAAAAACAAAAGGUUGGUGAGACAAAAAAAACCCAUAUGUGCCUCUCUUAUUUGUGUUGUGUAACAUAUGUUCUGCUCCACCACCACCAAUACACUAAAUUAAACCCAGAUCUUCUGCCAUAAUACUUCAUUAUCGAAGAAACACACGGCCACAUUAAAGGUAUAUGUCAUCUACAAGUGAACGGGAAAUAUACAUACAUAUAUAUAUAUAUAUAUAUAUAUAUAUCAAUAGUUAAGUUAUUCAUAGAUUCAAGUGGAUGUUUUGGAGGGUAAGAACAGAGAGGAGAAAAGCAGGGCUUUUUGAUUUUUUUUUUUUGGUAAAUGAGAAAAGCAAGGCUUAAAGAAUGAGCCCGUUAGCAAACUAGACUCCCUAUUAAGGGCCUAUUAAUUGUUAGACCUACAAUCACAAAAUCUUUCAUUUCCACCAGUGAGAAGGUAUUUGGGAAAACAAACUCCUUCACAUUAGAUGCUUAUUCAGUGGUCUCACUUUCAAAAGUUAAAUUAAUUUUUUCUUCGUCUUUAAUGCCUUUUAUUUUUGUGAUGUUAAAUUGGCUCAUUUGUCAAUCCCUACAAUUCGUUGAGCCCCAAAUUUACCUGUUUGACCACGGGUACAGAGAUCUUUUUUAACUCAAUGGGUCUAGAAAUUUGAAGAUUCGACUGCUAUAGAAGUUCUCAAAUGGUUCAUAUGCUGCAAUUUGUAGCACAAAUACUUCCAUCACAAAGAUUUUUGACGCCCCCAAAAUUCUAGUCACUUUCAUUAGUAAA